AACGCGAAGAACCUUACCAAGGCUUGACAUAUACGGAAAUCCGGCAGAGAUGUCGGGUCCGCAAGGGCCCCAAAACAGGUGGUGCAUGGCUGUCGUCAGCUCGUGUCGUGAGAUGUUGGAUUAAGUCCCGCAACGAGCGCAACCCUCGUCGUAUGUUGCCAGCAAGUAAAGUUGGGGACUCAUACGAGACUGCCGGGGUCAACUCGGAGGAAGGUGGGGAUGACGUCAAGUCAUCAUGCCCCUUAUGUCUAGGGCUGCACGCAUGCUACAAUGGCCGGUACAAAGGGCUGCGAUACCGCAAGGUGGAGCGAAUCCCAAAAAGCCAGUCUCAGUUCGGAUUGGGGUCUGCAACUCGACCCCAUGAAGUCGGAGUCGCUAGUAAUCGCAGAUCAGCAACGCUGCGGUGAAUACGUUCCCGGGCCUUGUACACACCG
rnacentral:rRNA from 1 species